rnacentral:rRNA from 1 species
GUCUAUGGCCAUGCCACUCUGGACAAGCCUGAUCCAGUCUGAUCUCAGAAGCUAAGCAGGGUCAGGCCUGGUUAGUACUUGGAUGGGUGACUACCUAGGAAGACCAGGUGCUGUAGGCA